rnacentral:rRNA from 1 species
AUGAGUAAUGCUACCUUCUCUAUCUGCUCAUGGAAUGUACGUGGUCUAGGCGAUGAUGCCAAAUGCUCUGACGUUGUGUUUGAACUAAUCUCGAGGAAUCCUGACAUUGCCUUAUUACAAGAGUCAAAACUCGGUACCUUCACUGACCCAAAGCUAAGAUCCUUCCUGCCUAGGCAGCUUGACCAACUUUUCUCCUUACCAGCCAUAGGUACGGCGGGUGGCACCAUCUUUGCUGUUAACACUGCCUCCUUCCAAGUGAUCUCCUUCAACCACCUCACUUUCUCUUCAACCUUGAUCUUGCGAUCAACGGCAACAGACAGCAACAUAGCCAUCACCAAUAUGUACGCCCCCUCCUCCCGCGCACUCAAGCAAUCCUUCCUCAAUGAGUUACUAGCUUUCGCCCAACCAGACGACUCACCCUGGCUACUUGUGGGAGACUUUAACCUCCUCCAUUUCCCCUCUGACAAAAACAAUGACACAUUUAGACGGUCUGAGGCCAAUGCGUUUAACCAAACUAUCAAUGACCUAGACCUCAUCAAACUACUGAUUCUAGAUCGCCAAUUCACAUGGUCCAACAAUAGAGCAACACCCACCCUAGAACGGAUCGACCGCGCCUUUUUAACUUGGCAUGGGCUGAAGCCUUCCCCAACUCUUCCCUCUCACCCCUCAUGUGUUUCAUGUCCGACCACGUCCCCUCCUCAUUCACGUCACCACAACAAUCCCGCGGUCCAACUUUUUUAA